UACGUAGGGGGCGAGCGUUGUCCGGAUUUAUUGGGCGUAAAGAGCGUGUAGGCGGUUCGGUAAGUCUGUCGUGAAAUCCUGGGGCUCAACCCUGGAACUGCAUUGGAUACUGCCUUGCUAGAGUACUGGAGAGGAAACUGGAAUUUACGGUGUAGCAGUGAAAUGCGUAGAGAUCGUAAGGAAGACCAGUGGCGAAGGCGAGUUUCUGGACAGUUACUGACGCUGAGGCACGAAGGCCAGGGGAGCAAACGGG
rnacentral:rRNA from 1 species